AGUGAACGCUGGCGGUAGGCCUAACACAUGCAAGUCGAACGGCAGCACAGUAAGAGCUUGCUCUUACGGGUGGCGAGUGGCGGACGGGUGAGGAAUACAUCGGAAUCUACUUUUUCGUGGGGGAUAACGUAGGGAAACUUACGCUAAUACCGCAUACGACCUACGGGUGAAAGCAGGGGAUCUUCGGACCUUGCGCGAUUGAAUGAGCCGAUGUCGGAUUAGCUAGUUGGCGGGGUAAAGGCCCACCAAGGCGACGAUCCGUAGCUGGUCUGAGAGGAUGAUCAGCCACACUGGAACUGAGACACGGUCCAGCCUCCUACGGGAGGCAGCAGUGGGGAAUAUUGGACAAUGGGCGCAAGCCUGAUCCAGCCAUACCGCGUGGGUGAAGAAGGCCUUCGGGUUGUAAAGCCCUUUUGUUGGGAAAGAAAAGCAGCAGGUUAAUACCCCGCUGUUCUGACGGUACCCAAAGAAUAAGCACCGGCUAACUUCGU
rnacentral:rRNA from 1 species